rnacentral:sRNA from 1 species
UACAUGUUGAUGGCAGGCUUCAUAGCGAA